GACGAACGCUGGCGGCAGGCCUAACACAUGCAAGUCGAGCGAGUGGCGGACGGGUGAGUAAUGUCUGGGAAACUGCCUGAUGGAGGGGGAUAACUACUGGAAACGGUAGCUAAUACCGCAUACCAUCGGAUGUGCCCAGAUGGGAUUAGCUUGUUGGUGGGGUAACAGCUCACCAAGGCGACGAUCCCUAGCUGGUCUGAGAGGAUGACCAGCCACACUGGAACUGCGUCACGGGCCAGACUCCUACGGGAGGCAGCAGUGGGGAAUCUUCCGCAAUGGACGAAAGUCGGACGGAGCAACUCCGCGUGAGUGAUGACGGCCUUCGGGUUGUAAAGUCUUUUAAUCGGGACGACGGUACCGGAAUAGAAAGCCACGGCUAACUACGUGCCAGCAGCCGCGGUAAUUC
rnacentral:rRNA from 1 species